UAGUAGUCAGGGCUUUUAAACAGGGUGUCUACCAACAGGGUUUUGAGUUCCUAACUGUAUGCAACUAAGCUUGAUUUUCUUCUCUAGGGAGCUGAGUUCAUGGCUCUGCUACUCUUUCUGCCGUGGGACUGACCCUUAACUCUAAAUACAUGCAAGAACAUACAGCCCAGCAUGCACUCAACGCAAGAGAUAACAGGGCUAAGCCAGAUGUCAACUGCUUCAAACAGAUCUCAGACCUCGAGAAGGCUACGAGUGGUUUGGGACAGGGACUCGGCACCGGGUCAGGGAAGCUGCUGCAAUCUCAGAGCUGAAUGGGACAUCGCCGCAAGGACCGAGCCGGAGAGCACGUUUGAGCCACAGUAGCCGAGCCAGAGGCAGCUCCAUCUCCGGCACUGCUGGAGCUGGUGCAAAGGUGGCUACAGAAGUGUCAUCCACUGCUGGAAAGAGAUGUACAAAGAAGACUGCACUUAAGGUCAGGCAGUUACCACGUCCCACAUAGUACUGUUGCUUUCCUUUAUUCUGGACGUCUCACUCCGUAAUAGAAGCAGGUUUACAAGAACUAUAAUAAUAAUAAUAAUAUAGGGAGUAAGUUUCUGAGAUUUUAUCACAUGUAAGCAGAAUCUUAAGUGUAAUCAAUUUCAGUCACUUCCUUUUAAUUCUCGAACAAAGUUUGCUUUUAAAUGCCACACCAGAUUUGAUGUGGCAAAGAUAAAUGGAAUGCAAUUAGUUCUACUAUUUGCUUUGAUGAUAUGCUAAAUUAUUUCUUACAACAAAACAUUUAUUAUACAAAGCUAAGAAGUUAUAAUUCAGCUUUUAACACAUCUAUUGUGAAUCAUAGCAAACUGAUAACAGUUUAAAAUUGAUUUAUCAAAAUAUGAAAAAAGUUAUUCCAUGAAACAAUUCCAUCAAUGUGUAAGUCGAAAACCUUAAUUUUACUGCCUCUUACUGAUGGCUUUGAUCCACAUUCACUUAGUGAAUAAACAUGUUUAAGCAAAAUGUCUGGAUUUAAAUGUUCUCACAGUAUUUUUAACAUAAUACCCUCCAUAUAGUUAAUAAGACCUUCCACAAGACUUGUUUUCACCAAAGCUGAGCCAGCCAUUGCAUUGAAGUCAUUGAAUUAUUUGAAUACUCAUGCAAUUUACUGAAAAAACUUAAUCAGAACUUAUGCAAGAAGCCGAAAGCUGUCAGUUGGUCUUAUCUCUAUCAUCAUCCCCUCUAACAAAAACAAAUAAAGUAACAAUAACAAGAGAAUCCAUACACUUAAACCAACCCUCUUGUCUAUGACAGGAAUUCUUCAGUGCAUUUCUUGGGAAUUUGUAACCAAAAUAAUUAUUAAUGAUUUUUUUCCUGAAAUUCAUCAUGAAUGUGUCACAAUAACUGCAAAUUAAUGAAAUGAAUGUGCUCUCUGAAAAUACAAAUAUUUGAUCUUAUGAAUUAAGUGUUAACAUUUAAUAUACAACAUUGCUUUACUGUUCUGUACUCUGAAUUUCCAUUAUCAGUCCUGUCCUCCAGUGCAUGUCUUGUUAAUGUGGACCUAACCAGAUAUAGAAUGUAAAGGCCAUGCCUUAUAAAAUAAAAACUGAAAACAAAGGUAAUAGUAGAGCACCUGAUCCCAGAAAUCAUAUUUUGACUAAAAAACUAAGUGUCUAGAUUUAAGGAAAAAUGACUUGCCCAAAUUUUACCAUUUUUUGCAACAUAUUAAAGCUACCUUGUGAAGGUCAAAUUUCAACAGUUCAAUGCCUGGUAAAACUCCAUGGUGGCAAA